rnacentral:pre_miRNA from 1 species
GAAACAUCCCUAUGGAGCAGGACUUGCUUCAGUGGGGCUUGGGUGCUCACUGAAUCUGCUUCUUGAGUGGGUUGCU